AGCAGGAAGGGUUUGGGGGUGGUUGUUUCUUUUUUUGUCCACUAUUCACGCUUUAGGAUUCCAUGGGGUGACACUCGAAUUCUUUGGAAGUGUUUUACAACUGGUGCUGGGACUGAUGCAGUACCUCUACUUUGAUGUUUAAUCAAGGCUCAGAAAGUCCGUUGCCAUGGACACAGAGGACCAGGAUGGCGUGACUGUUGCCAUUCCCCUCAUGCACUGGUUAAAACUGACCUUUAAAAGUUCCAUGUUGAAGUCUAACCCAGUGCAUCAGAAUAUGACUAUUUGAGACAGGUUCUUUGAAGACAUAAUUAAGUUAGGAGGACAUUGGAGUGGCCCUAACUCACUAUAACUGGUGUUUGGGAUGUCUGGACUUCAGUCCCAGAAGAACCUGUAAAGACAUUGCACUAUCACAAGCCAAGGGGAGAGGCCUUGAAGAAACCAGUCUGCAGGUAUGUUGAUCUUGGACUUCUACACUGUAGAAUUGUGGGAAAAAUUAAUAUUUGCUUUCUAAGUCACCCACUUGGUGGAACUUUGUUUUGGCAUCUGUACCAGACUAAUACUAAUGCAGAAAGUUUGGCCCCACACAGAUAAAUAGCUGGAAAAGGUAGACUAUUGUAAUGGUCUUUUCAGAUCAUUGUAAAUAUUCCUCUUUGAUAGUGUACUCAAACUUGAAUAUUGAUAGUUCAUCUUAUAGGUUAGUAGCACUGUGCAAUCUGAAACCAUAUGAAUUAACUUUUUGUUCUCUCAUAUUAAAAAUCUGCAGGUUUGCAUUGUUCU